UACGAGUUUGAUCAUGGCUCAGGACGAACGCUGGCGGCGUGCCUAAUACAUGCAAGUCGAGCGGACCAAAGGGAGCUUGCUCCUGGAGGUUAGCGGCGAACGGGUGAGUAACACGUGGGCAACCUGCCUGUAAGACUGGGAUAACAUCGAGAAAUCGGUGCUAAUACCGGAUAAUAAAAAGAACUGCAUGGUUCUUUUUUGAAAGAUGGUUUCGGCUAUCACUUACAGAUGGGCCCGCGGCGCAUUAGCUAGUUGGUGAGGUAACGGCUCACCAAGGCGACGAUGCGUAGCCGACCUGAGAGGGUGAUCGGCCACACUGGGACUGAGACACGGCCCAGACUCCUACGGGAGGCAGCAGUAGGGAAUCUUCCGCAAUGGACGAAAGUCUGACGGAGCAACGCGCGUGAGUGAUGAAGUUUUCGGAUCGUAAAACUCUGUUGUUAGGGAAGAACAAGUGCCGUUCGAAAGGCGGCACCUUGACGGUACCUAACGAGAAAGCCACGGCUAACUACGUAG
rnacentral:rRNA from 1 species